GACGAACGCUGGCGGCGUGCCUAAUACAUGCAAGUUGAGCGCUGAAGGUUGGUCCUUGUACCAACUGGAUGAGCAGCGAACGGGUGAGUAACGCGUGGGGAAUCUGCCUUUGGGCGGGGGACAACAUUUGGAAACGAAUGCUAAUACCGCAUAAAAACUUUAAACACAAGUUUUAAGUUUGAAAGAUGCAAUUGCAUCACUCAAAGAUGAUCCCGCGUUGUAUUAGCUAGUUGGUGAGGUAAAGGCUCACCAAGGCGAUGAUACAUAGCCGACCUGAGAGGGUGAUCGGCCACAUUGGGACUGAGACACGGCCCAAACUCCUACGGGAGGCAGCAGUAGGGAAUCUUCGGCAAUGGACGAAAGUCUGACCGAGCAACGCCGCGUGAGUGAAGAAGGUUUUCGGAUCGUAAAACUCUGUUGGUAGAGAAGAACGUUGGUGAGAGUGGAAAGCUCAUCAAGUGACGGUAACUACCCAGAAAGGGACGGCUAACUACGUG
rnacentral:rRNA from 1 species